AAUCAACGCUGGCGGCGUGCCUCAGACAUGCAAGUCGAACGCGAAAGUCCCCUUCGGGGACGAAGUAGAGUGGCGCACGGGUGAGUAACACGUAGGUAAUCUACCUUUGGAUGGGGAAGUAACAACCGGAAACGGUUGCUAAUACCGCAUAAUGCAGCGGCACCUAAUGGUGACAGUUGUUAAAGCGGGGGAGUCAAAGACCUCGCGUCUGAAGAGGAGCCUGCGGCGGAUUAGCUAGNGGUAAGGUAAUGGCUUACCAAGGCUACAUCCGUAACCGGCCUGAGAGGGCGGGUCGGUCACACUGACACUGACAUAC
rnacentral:rRNA from 1 species